UAUAUAUAUAGAAACUUAUUGUACCAAAAUCAAAGCAGCUCCGGAUCAAGUGAAGCACGUCAACUCUCGCUGAUCAGGGAUUGUAAGAAGGGGCACCAUCAGCUUGCCUACAUGCUCCUACGGGCAUGAAAUGCAGGCCCUGUGAAAUAGGGCGUUAGUACAAAAAAUGUACUGAGGUAUGUAAGGCAUGAAAAUUAGUACAUAAAAGACAUAGAUGAAACAUGGAAUAAAGAAACACAUCUUUAAAUCUGAAUAACUUUGUAAAUUCUAAAACGUUUAUAACGUCAUGCACAUGCGUAUAAAUGUCGUGUCAUGCAUAGGUAUGGGUGUACAUAAUAUCAUCACGCCACUGAGGGCAUCCCAUCAUAUCGUCUCGGCCACUGUGGGCAACAUCAUCAACAUAUGCCAGCUGAUCAGGUGGUGGUGCAUAUAUAAUGCCGUAACCUUUUCCCAUAUCCCAUAUACAUAUAUUUACAUAUAUACGCGUAUAUAACAUCAUCUGGUCAUGGGUCAAUGCACAUGUAUAAAUGGGUGAAAUGCAUGAAAAAUAUGUAAUAAUCUCAAUAUUCCUUCUGGAUAAACUUUUUCAACUGCGUAUUAUUCUGAGACCCAUGAACAGAAGAUAAUAAUAAUUUUCAUGGGGAGUUAAGAAUAUAGACACCCCUAAUAUUUCUAUGAAUAGAGUAAUUUAUGGAAACUAUGUGUUUGCUCGUUUCUUCGGUAUAAUUUGGAUCAUGCCAAAAGAAAGAAGGGAUGACCUUAACAUACCUAGAGUAGGAAAUACUCCGUAUAAUAUUUCGUUGGAAACCUUUGUGGAUUGAACUUAGAACCCGAAAAUCGAAUUAAGCAUAUGCGUUUUGAAAUUGAUGGAUGAAAUCUUGCUUUUCAUUCUUUGAAAUUUUUGGAAUGAAAUUGCUUCCGGCACUUAGCUUCUGCUUUUCACGUUUCUAUGAACUAAAAUUUGCUAUAUCACAUUUAUAGGUUGUUCAGAUUCCU
rnacentral:lncRNA from 1 species